rnacentral:rRNA from 1 species
GGGAUGAACGCUAGCGGCAGGCUUAAUACAUGCAAGUCGAGGGGCAGCAGGUCUGUAGCAAUACAGAUGCUGGCGACCGGCAAACGGGUGCGGAACACGUACGCAACCUUCCUUCGAGUGGGGAAUAGCCCAGGGAAACUUGGAUUAAUACCCCCGUAAUAUUAUGAUGUGGCAUCACAUUAUAAUUAUAGCUACGGCGCUUGAAGAUGGGCGUGCGGCUGAUUAGGUAGUUGGCGGGUAACGCCCACAAGCCUUGAUCAGUAACUGGUAGUGAGAGCACGACCAGUCACACGGGCACUGAGACACGGGCCCGAACUCCGUACGGGAGCAGUCAGUAAGGAAUACGUUGGGGCAAAGUUGGGAC